rnacentral:rRNA from 1 species
CAGGCUUAACACAUGCAAGUCGAGGGGCAGCAUGGUCUUAGCUUGCUAAGGCCGAUGGCGACCGGCGCACGGGUGAGUAACACGUAUCCAACCUGCCGUCUACUCUUGGACAGCCUUCUGAAAGGAAGAUUAAUACAAGAUGGCAUCAUGAGUCCGCAUGUUCACAUGAUUAAAGGUAUUCCGGUAGACGAUGGGGAUGCGUUCCAUUAGAUAGUAGGCGGGGUAACGGCCCACCUAGUCUUCGAUGGAUAGGGGUUCUGAGAGGAAGGUCCCCCACAUUGGAACUGAGACACGGUCCAAACUCCUACGGGAGGCAGCAGUGAGGAAUAUUGGUCAAUGGGCGAGAGCCUGAACCAGCCAAGUAGCGUGAAGGAUGACUGCCCUAUGGGUUGUAAACUUCUUUUAUAAAGGAAUAAAGUCGGGUAUGGAUACCCGUUUGCAUGUACUUUAUGAAUAAGGAUCGGCUAACUCCGUGCCAGCAGCCGCGGUAAUACGGAGGAUCCGAGCGUUAUCCGGAUUUAUUGGGUUUAAAGGGAGCGUAGAUGGAUGUUUAAGUCAGUUGUGAAAGUUUGCGGCUCAACCGUAAAAUUGCAGUUGAUACUGGAUAUCUUGAGUGCAGUUGAGGCAGGCGGAAUUCGUGGUGUAGCGGUGAAAUGCUUAGAUAUCACGAAGAACUCCGAUUGCGAAGGCAGCCUGCUAAGCUGCAACUGACAUUGAGGCUCGAAAGUGUGGGUAUCAAACAGGAUUAGAUACCCUGGUAGUCCACACGGUAAACGAUGAAUACUCGCUGCUUGCGAUAUACUGCAAGCGGCCAAGCGAAAGCGUUAAGUAUUCCACCUGGGGAGUACGCCGGCAACGGUGAAACUCAAAGGAAUUGACGGGGGCCCGCACAAGCGGAGGAACAUGUGGUUUAAUUCGAUGAUACGCGAGGAACCUUACCCGGGCUUAAAUUGCAGAUGAAUUACGGUGAAAGCCGUAAGCCGCAAGGCAUCUGUGAAGGUGCUGCAUGGUUGUCGUCAGCUCGUGCCGUGAGGUGUCGGCUUAAGUGCCAUAACGAGCGCAACCCUUGUUGUCAGUUACUAACAGGUUCCGCUGAGGACUCUGACAAGACUGCCAUCGUAAGAUGUGAGGAAGGUGGGGAUGACGUCAAAUCAGCACGGCCCUUACGUCCGGGGCUACACACGUGUUACAAUGGGGGGUACAGAGGGCCGCUACCACGCGAGUGGAUGCCAAUCCCCAAAACCUCUCUCAGUUCGGACUGGAGUCUGCAACCCGACUCCACGAAGCUGGAUUCGCUAGUAAUCGCGCAUCAGCCACGGCGCGGUGAAUACGUUCCCGGGCCUUGUACACACCGCCCGUCAAGCCAUGGGAGCCGGGGGUACCUGAAGUGCGUAACCGCGAGGAGCGCCCUAGGGUAAAACUGGUGACUGGGGCUAAGUCAU